rnacentral:rRNA from 1 species
UACGUAGGUGGCGAGCGUUGUCCGGAUUUACUGGGCGUAAAGAGCGCGCAGGCGGUCGUUCAAGUCGCGUGUGAAAGCCCCCCGGCUCAACUGGGGAGGGUCACGCGAUACUGAUCGACUCGAAGGCAGGAGAGGGAAGUGGAAUUCCCGGUGUAGUGGUGAAAUGCGUAGAUAUCGGGAGGAACACCAGUGGCGAAGGCGACUUCCUGGCCUGUUCUUGACGCUGAGGCGCGAAAGCUAGGGGAGCAAACGGGAUUAAGAA